GACGAACGCUGGCGGCGUGCUUAACACAUGCAAGUCGAGCGGUAAGGCCCUUUCGGGGGUACACGAGCGGCGAACGGGUGAGUAACACGUGGGUGACCUGCCUUUAGCUCUGGGAUAAGCCUGGGAAACUGGGUCUAAUACCGGAUACGACUCCGCGGUGCAUGCUGUGGGGUGGAAAGCCUUGUGCGGCUGGAGAUGGGCCCGCGGCCUAUCCAGCUUGUUGGUGGGGUGAUGGCCACCAAGGCGACGACGGUAGCCGGCCUGAGAGGGCGACCGGCCACACUGGGACUGAGACACGGCCCAGACUCCUACGGGAGGCAGCAGUGGGGAAUCUUGCGCAAUGGGCGAAAGCCUGACGCAGCGACGCCGCGUGAGGGAUGACGGCCU
rnacentral:rRNA from 1 species